rnacentral:rRNA from 1 species
UACGUAGGGCGCAAGCGUUGUCCGGAAUUAUUGGGCGUAAAGCGCGUGUAGGCGGCUUGGCAAGUCGGGUGUGAAAUCCCUCAGCUUAACUGAGGAAGUGCGCCCGAAACUGCUUGGCUUGAGUACCGGAGAGGGUGGCGGAAUUCCCGAAGUAGAGGUGAAAUUCGUAGAUAUCGGGAGGAACACCGGUGGCGAAGGCGGCCACCUGGACGGAUACUGACGCUGAGACGCGAAAGCGUGGGUAGCAAACAGG